rnacentral:antisense_RNA from 1 species
UGUCAUGGCCGUUGUGUGCGGGGCACUUUCGGGUGCGCCGGGUAUUGGUUGUUCUCCCCGGUCUGUCAACCUGCACACAACUGCCACCUUU